rnacentral:tmRNA from 1 species
GGGGCCGACCGGUUUUGACAGGAUGUGUGGUGACGUGUGUAAGCAUGCAGGCUCAUGGGAUGAGAGCCUUGAAAGAUAGUCCUAAACCAUACGUGGCGAGACAAACUACGCCAUGGCUGCUUAAUCUGACGGAAUGUUAGGUUAGCUCAUCUCCGCGUAGCGCGGGGAGGCCAUCAUCGCUCAGCGCGUUGUUCUGCAGGUGCUGAUCAAGCGGUGUCGUUUUGUAGAACUGCUCUGCACGGUGUUAUAACGUGUAGCUAAGACUCUGUAACUAAGGAAUGCCUUGGCCGUUGCCUGCCUUUGUGUUCUCGAAAAAUAAAGUCAACUAAGCAUGUAGAAGAUACGAUUAUCAUCUUCUCUGGACCAGGGUUCGAUUCCCUGCGGCUCCACCU